AUUGAACGCUGGCGGCAGGCUUAACACAUGCAAGUCGAACGAGUGGCGGACGGGUGAGUAAUGCUUGGGAAUCUAGCUUAUGGAGGGGGAUAACUACGGGAAACUGUAGCUAAUACCGCGUACCAUAGGAUGAGCCCAAGUGGGAUUAGGUAGUUGGUGAGGUAAAGGCUCACCAAGCCGACGAUCUCUAGCUGGUCUGAGAGGAUGACCAGCAACACUGGGACUGAGCAAGGGCCCAGACUCGUACGGUAGGAAGCAGUGGGGAGUAUUGCGCAAUGGGGGCAGCCUGACGCAGCCAUGCGGGGGAAAUGAAGAAGGCUUUCGGGUUGAAAAGUUCUUUCGGUAGCGAGGCGUUAACUACAGAAGAAGCACCGGCUAACCCCGUGCCAGCCGCCGCGUUAAAC
rnacentral:rRNA from 1 species